UACAGAGGUCUCAAGCGUUGUUCGGAUUCAUUGGGUUUAAAGGGUGCGUAGGCGGACUUGUAAGUCAGUGGUGAAAUCUCUCAGCUUAACUGAGAAACUGCCAUUGAUACUGCAGGUCUUGAGUACAGAUGAUGUUGGCGGAAUAUGACAUGUAGCGGUGAAAUGCAUAGAUAUGUCAUAGAACACCGAUUGCGAAGGCAGCUGACAAAACUGUAACUGACGCUGAGGCACGAAAGUGUGGGGAUCAAACAGG
rnacentral:rRNA from 1 species